GGGCUGUGAUUACAAAGAGAGAGGAUUGAGUGGGGUUUUCUCUUGUCGAAGCUUGGAGAGAAGAUUGAAGAUCGAGAUGGAUAUAUUAAGAUUCGGGACGAAUCGCAUCGUGCCGCCGCCUUGUUUGUUGCAAGGGCUGGCUAUGGCAGCUUGUGAAUUUGGCCCAAAUCAAUUUCAUCUCUUUUGUAUUCUCUUAUCUUUCUUCAAUCUGGAUCUUUCCCACUAUAACUACCUUUUUUAAAUUUACGCUUGAUAUGAGCUCC
rnacentral:snoRNA from 1 species